rnacentral:rRNA from 1 species
CUACGGGGGGCAGCAGUGAGGAAUAUUGCACAAUGGGGGGAACUCUGAUGCAGCAACGCCGCGUGGAGGAUGACGCAUUUCGGUGUGUAAACUCCUUUUAUAUGUCAAGAAAAUGACGGUAGCAUAUGAAUAAGCACCGGCUAACUCCGUGCCAGCAGCCGCGGUAAUACGGAGGGUGCAAGCGUUACUCGGAAUCACUGGGCGUAAAGGACGCGUAGGCGGGUUGGAAAGUCAGGUGUGAAAUCCUACAGCUUAACUGGAGAACUGCACUUGAAACUUCUAAUCUAGAGUAUGGGAGGGGGAGAUGGAAUUAGUGGUGUAGGGGUAAAAUCCGUAGAUAUCACUAGGAAUACCUAAAGCGAAGGCGAUCUCCUGGAACAUUACUGACGCUAAGGCGUGAAAGCGUGGGGAGCAAACAGGAUUAGAUACCCCAGUAGUC